UUUCUCUUCAUCAAAGAUACUUUUCUCAGUGCUUGUGACUGCCAGUGAAGUCUGUUCUUUAGUUGUGUACUGGAGAGGGAAGUUCUGGUAGCCUGGCUCAGCUAGCAGGCCUUCAAUUCAAGGACCAGUGCAGGCAGUCUGAUUCCUUGUGUUUGAACAUGAUGUAUGCAGGAUGUGGAUCGAAAAGCAUUGAGAGCAACAAGUGAAUCAUAAGAUCCUUUUGUCUAUUGAACUUUCUGCACAAGGGAGUCGGUUUCUUAAAAAAAUAGGUAGCUAUGCAGAAGGGCAAGGAAAAAUGAAGUGCUUGAACCUGCUGAUGGCCUAUGUGAGAAACACAUCAAAAGC